rnacentral:rRNA from 1 species
AACAAACGCUGGCGGCGUGCCUAACACAUGCAAGUCGUAUGAGAAAGUCGGCUUCGGCCGAUGAGUACAGUGGCGCACGGGUGAGUAACGCGUGGGUAAUCUACCCCUCGGUCAGGAAUAACCCGCCGAAAGGCGGGCUAAUACCCGAUAACACUGACGCUCUGCGGAGUGUCUUUCAAAGAAGGCCUCUGUUUACAAGCUUUCGCCGGAGGAUGAGCCCGCGUACCAUUAGCUAGUUGGUGAGGUAACGGCUCACCAAGGCAACGAUGCGUAGCCGACCUGAGAGGGUGAUCGGCCACAUUGGAACUGAGACACGGUCCAAACUCCUACGGGAGGCAGCAGUGGAGAAUCUUGCACAAUGGGGGAAACCCUGAUGCAGCAACGCCGCGUGAAGGAAGAA